GUCCCAAUUCUGGUACUUAAAGAUGGCCUCAGACUAUUUCUGCCUGUAAAGUAGCACAUAAUCUGCUAGUCCAAAGGCAAGAAAUACCCCAGUCUAGAAAUCUUUUCUACCUGCACAUGGUUGGAAAGUGGAAACCGCAAUUCAGGAAUAGACUGCUAAUUAGAAGAAUAACAAUGAAGUUAAUCUCACAGCCUAGGAGCAGAGAUGCCCCUAAAGACAUCUGGAUGGGGUGACACCUGAUGGCAGGAAACACAACCAGAGAACCUACUCCAGCGUGGUGACUAACGUGGAAGGAGAUUCUAC